rnacentral:rRNA from 1 species
CCUANGGGUGGCAGCAGUGAGGAAUAUUGGUCAAUGGACGUAAGUCUGAACCAGCCAUCCCGCGUGCAGGAAGAAGGCGCUAUGCGUUGUAAACUGCUUUUCUGAGGGAAGAAAACCCCCGACAUGUCGGGGCUUGCCGGUACCUUGGGAAUAAGCAUCGGCUAACUCCGUGCCAGCAGCCGCGGUAAUACGGAGGAUGCGAGCGUUAUCCGGAUUCAUUGGGUUUAAAGGGUGCGUAGGCGGAUUUAUAAGUCAGUGGUGAAAACCUGCAGCUUAACUGUAGAACUGCCAUUGAUACUAUAGGUCUUGAAUAUCGUGGAGGUAAGCGGAAUAUGUCAUGUAGCGGUGAAAUGCUUAGAUAUGACAUAGAACACCAAUUGCGAAGGCAGCUUACUACACGAUCAUUGACACUGAGGCACGAAAGCGUGGGGAGCAAACAGGAUUAGAUACCCUUNUANUC